rnacentral:rRNA from 1 species
AGAGUUUGAUCCUGGCCCAGGAUAAACGCUGGCGGCGUGCCUAACACAUGCAAGUCGAACGCCCUUAGCAAUAAGGGAGUGGCGGACGGGUGAGGAACACGUGGGUUAUCUACCUUGGGGUGAGGAAUACCACCGGGAAACCGGUGACAAUACCGCAUAUGCUCAGCAAUGAGCAAAGCCUUCGGGCGCCACAAGAUGAGCCUGCGGCCGAUUAGCUAGUUGGUGGGGUAAAAGCUCACCAAGGCGACGAUCGGUAACUGGUCUGAGAGGACGGUCAGUCACACUGGGAUUGAGAACGGCCCAGACUCCUACGGGGGGCAGCAGUGAGGAAUUUUCGUCAAUGGGGGAAACCCUGAACGAGCAACGCCGCGUGCAGGAAGACGGUCUUCGGAUUGUAAACUGCUUUUCUCUGGGACGAGAACGGACGGUACCAGAGGAAUCAGCUCCGGCUAACUACGUGCCAGCAGCCGCGGUAAUACGUAGGGAGCAAGCGUUGUCCGGAUUUAUUGGGCGUAAAGCGCACGCAGGCGGUUUAGUCAGUCUCUACUGACAGUGUCCGGCUCAACCGGGCAAGUGGUAGGGAAACUGCUAAACUUGAGGGCUUCAGAGGGAUGGGGAACUCCAGGUGGAGUGGUGAAAUGCGUAGAUAUCUGGAAGAACACCAAUGGCGAAGGCACCAUCCUGGGAAGCAUCUGACGCUCAGGUGCGAAAGCUAGGGGAGCGAACGGGAUUAGAUACCCCGGUAGUCCUAGCCGUAAACGAUGACCACUAGACGUUGAGGGUAUCGACCCCUUCAGUGUCGCAGUUAACACAAUAAGUGGUCCGCCUGGGGAGUACGGUCGCAAGAUUAAAACUCAAAGGAAUUGACGGGGACCCGCACAAGCAGCGGAGCGUGUGGUUUAAUUCGAUGCAACGCGAAGAACCUUACCAAGGCUUGACAUGUAUUUGCACCGGCCGUAAUGGGUCGUCUCCUUCGGGAGCGGAUACACAGGUGCUGCAUGGCUGUCGUCAGCUCGUGUCGUGAGAUGUUGGGUUCAGUCCCGCAACGAGCGCAACCCCUAUCGUUAGUUGAAUGGUCUAGCGAGACUGCCGGAACAAACCGGAGGAAGGCGGGGAUGACGUCAAGUCAGCACGGCCCUUACGCCUUGGGCGACACACACGCUACAAUGGAUAGGACAAUGGGACGCCAACCCGCGAGGGGGAGCCAAUCCUCAAAACCUGUCCUCAGUUCAGAUUGGAGGCUGAAACCCGCCUCCAUGAAGUGGGAGUUGCUAGUAACCGUAGGUCAGCACACUACGGUGAAUACGUUCCCGGGUCUUGUACACACCGCCCGUCACACCACGAAAGUCGGCAACACCUGAAGCCGCUGGGCUAACUCUUCGGAGAGGCAAGCGUCGAGGGUGGGGUCGGUGAUUGGGGUGAAGUCGUAACAAGGUA